rnacentral:rRNA from 1 species
AUUGAACGCUGGCGGCAGGCCUAACACAUGCAAGUCGAACGAGUGGCGGACGGGUGAGUAAUGUCUGGGAAACUGCCUGAUGGAGGGGGAUAACUACUGGAAACGGUAGCUAAUACCGCAUACCAUCAGAUGGGCCCAGAUGGGAUUAGCUAGUUGGUGGGGUAACGGCUCAACAAGGCGACGAUCCCUAGCGGGUCUGAGAGGAUGCACAGCCACACUGGAACGGAGACACGGGCCAGACUCCUACGAGAGGCAGCAGUGGGAAAUAUUGCACAAUGGGCGCAAGCCUGAUGCAGCAAUGCCGCGUGUAUGAAGAAGGCCUGCGGGUUGUAAAGUACUUUCAGCGGGGAGGCGUUACCCGCAGAAGAAGCACCGGCUAACUCCGUGCCAGCAGCCGCGGUAAUAC